GACAAACGCUGGCGGCGUGCCUAAUACAUGCAAGUCGAACGACGAAAGCCUUCGGGCAAGUAAGAGUGGAGCACGGGCGAGGAACACGUAGAUAAUCUGCCCUUCAGUGGGGAAUAACUCUCCGAAAGGAGUGCUAAUACCGCAUAAGACCACAAGCUCUGCGAAGCAAGGGGUUAAAGGAUUUAUUCGCUGAAGGAUGAGUCUGCGUCCGAUUAGCUAGUUGGUGAGGUAAUGGCUUACCAAGGCAAUGAUCGGUAGAUGGUCUGAGAGGAUGAUCAUCCGCACUGGAACUGAGACACGGUCCAGACUCCUACGGGAGGCAGCAGUAGGGAAUAUUGCACAAUGGGGGAAACCCUGAUGCAGCAACGCCGCGUGAGUGAUGAAGGCUCUAAGGUCGUAAAGCUCUGUCGUAUGGGAAGAAAAAAAUGACGGUACCAUACAAGAAAGGACCGGCCAACUUCGUGCCAGCAGCCGCGGUAA
rnacentral:rRNA from 1 species